ensembl:snRNA
ACUCCCUUUGAUAAGGAUGGAAGAGGUCCUAGUGACCUUUACAACACGCAUAUGGUUAAGGCAUUGCCACUUACUUCAUGGCAUCUAACCUCUUUUU